rnacentral:rRNA from 1 species
GACGAACGCUGGCGGCGUGCUUAACACAUGCAAGUCGAACGAGAAUCUAAUGACGGAGUUUUCGGACAACUGAUUUAGAGGACAGUGGCGGACUGGUGAGUAAACGCGUGAGGAACCUGCCUUUCAGAGGGGGACAACAGUUGGAAACGACUGCUAAUACCGCAUGAUGUGUAACUGGGACAUCCCGGAUACACCAAAGAUUUAUCGCUGAAAGAUGGCCUCGCGUCUGAUUAGCUAGUUGGUGAGGUAACGGCCCACCAAGGCGACGAUCAGUAGCCGGACUGAGAGGUUGACCGGCCACAUUGGGACUGAGAUACGGCCCGGACUCCUACGGGAGGCAGCAGUGGGGAAUAUUGGGCAAUGGGCGCAAAGCCUGACCCAGCAACGCCGCGUGAAGGAAGAAGGCUUUCGGGUUGUAAACUUCUUUUAAGUGGGAAGAGCAGAAGACGGUACCACUUGAAUAAGCCACGGCUAACUACGUGCCAAGCAGCCGCUGU